CCUACGGGAGGCAGCAGUGAGGAAUAUUGGUCAAUGGGCGCAAGCCUGAACCAGCCAAGUCGCGUGCAGGAUGACGGAUCUAUGGUUUGUAAACUUCUUUUAUAUGGGAAUAAACUGAGGUACGUGUUCCUUUUUGUAUGUACCAUAUGAAUAAGCAUCGGCUAACUCCGUGCCAGCAGCCGCGGUAAUACGGAGGAUUCGAGCGUUAUCCGGAUUUAUUGGGUUUAAAGGGUGCGUAGGUGGUUGAUUAAGUCAGCGGUGAAAGUUUGUGGCUCAACCAUAAAAUUGCCGUUGAUACUGGUUGACUUGAGUAUAUUUGAGGUAGGCGGAAUGCGUGGUGUAGCGGUGAAAUGCAUAGAGAUCACGCAGAACUCCGAUUGCGAAGGCAGCUUACUAAGCUAUAACUGACACUGAAGCACGAAAGCGUGGGGAGCAAACAGGAUUAGAUACCCUAGUAGUC
rnacentral:rRNA from 1 species